rnacentral:rRNA from 1 species
GACGAACGCUGGCGGCGUGCCUAACACAUGCAAGUCGAGCGCGAAAGCGGGGCAACCCGCAAGUAGAGCGGCGAACGGGUGAGUAACGCGUGGGUGAUCUACCUCCGAGUGGGGAACAACAUCGGGAAACUGGUGCUAAUACCGCAUGACAUCCUCAGGUCACACUGAGGAUCAAAGCCGGGGACCGUAAGGCCUGGCGCUUGGAGAGGAGCCCGCGUCCGAUUAGCAGUUGGCGGGGUAACGGCCCACCAAGGCGACGAUCGGUAGCCGGCCUGAGAGGGCGGACGGCCACACUGGGACUGCGACACGGCCCAGACUCCUACGGGAGGCAGCAGUGGGGAAUUUUUCGCAAUGGGCGCAAGCCUGACGAAGCAACGCCGCGUGGGGACGAAGGCCUCGGUUGUAA